UAGCUCUGAUUUCUCUUAAGUCACAUAUAAAUCUUUCAUAUUUUACUAAAGAUUUCUGUGGAGAGGAACAUCAAUGUGUUUGAUGUAUUUUUAUGAGAUUUGCUUUGGUAAAGCU